rnacentral:rRNA from 1 species
GGGAAUAUUGCACAAUGGGGGCAACCCUGAUGCAGCCAUGCCGCGUGUGUGAAGAAGGCCUUCGGGUUGUAAAGCACUUUCAGUUGUGAGGAAAGGUUAGUAGUUAAUACCUGCUAGCUGUGACGUUAACAACAGAAGAAGCACCGGCUAACUCCGUG